rnacentral:lncRNA from 1 species
UUGAAUGCUUGUGGGAAAAGUUUCCUAUGAGUAUACGACAGUUGCUGCGAUCCCAGGUCGCGAUCUUGGUUUGGGGGCAUAACAUUGAUAUUUAAAGAUUCUUAUUUGAAAGGCAAUAAUUUCACUAGAUGGAUAACAGUAAAUAAAAUUAGCCAUCAAGGAUCAAAAAAAGAUAAUUUCCCAAGGAUAUCCAUAGUUACAAGUGGCACAAUAAGCAUAACGCAGUCUUGGCAAUCGUGAGUUGGCUACCAUGCAGAUAACUUGUGUACUAAAGCUCCUUUUGGUUAGCGGCUCAGUCUGAUGCUAUUAGUUUCUCAAUUGGAAUUAGGCUACAAUCCUAGGUAAGAUUAGAUGUUCUUUAGAACUUGGGCCUAAGGGCAAAUGGAUUUGGAGAUGAUGGACUAACCAAUGUAUUAUGAUAAUACAUGCACAAGAGUAUGUCAGCUUGUCUGCGAUGCUUUUAAAAAUUACAUACUUGCAUAUAUUAUUCGCAUCUGUACAAUAUGAAAAGAAUAUGCAUCUUGAAACAAGACAAACGAGCAUAUUAGAAAAAAAAGCACAGAGACAUCCAAGACUAAUUCACUAUUUCCAUCCAAAUCUCAAAUCAAAAUGCCUUGGUUUAUAUGUGCUUUUUUUAGAAUUUACCAACCUAUUGGAUCAUCUAAAAUCAAACUAAUAUUGUAAUGGUCCAAGUCUAGAUUGUGUUGGAUUAGAGUGUUCUGUUUCAUUUUUCCUAUCGAAAUUUUUUAUCUCAUUACUAUUUAAUAAAACUCUUGCUGCUUAACCCAUACGCAGAUGUUCAUGCAUCCAUCCAAAUCCAUACAUAGAGAAUUACAUGACUAAAUCAUGUCGUC